rnacentral:piRNA from 1 species
UCUCAUACCCAGAUGCUAGCCUUCUUAUUU